rnacentral:rRNA from 1 species
GAAUCCCGUCUUUGACAUGGACUGCCAGGGCUUUGUGAUGCGCUCUCAAAGAGUCGAGUUGUUUGGGAAUGCAGCUCAAAAUGGGUGGUAAAUUCCAUCUAAAGCUAAAUAUUGGCGAGAGACCGAUAGCGAACAAGUACCGUGAGGGAAAGAUGAAAAGAACUUUGGAAAGAGAGUUAAACAGUACGUGAAAUUGCUGAAAGGGAAACGCUUGAAGUCGGUCGCGUCGUCCAGGGAUCAACCUUGCUUUUGCUUGGUGCACUUUCUGGUUUGACGGGUCAGCAUCAAUUUUGACUAUUGGAAAAAGGCUAAGGGAAUGUGGCAUCUUUGGAUGUGUUAUAGCCCUUGGUCACAUACAAUGGUUGGGAUUGAGGAACUCAGCACGCCGCAAGGCCGGGUUUUUAAACCACGUACGUGCUUAGGAUGCUGGCAAUAUGGCUUUAAUCGACCCGUCUUGAAACACGGACCAAGGAGUCUAACAUGCCUGCGAGUGUUUGGGUGGUAAACCCGAGCGCGUAAUGAAAGUGAAAAGUUGAGAUCCCUGUCGUGGGGAGCAUCGACGCCCGGACCAGACCUUUUGUGACGGUUCCGCGGUAGAGCAUGUAUGUUGGGACCCGAAAGAUGGUGAACUAUGCCUGAAUAGGGUGAAUCCAGAGGAAACUCUGGUGGAGGCUCGUAGCGAUUCUGACGUGCAAAUCGAUCGUCAAAUUUGGGUAUAGGGGCGAAAGACUAAUCGAACCAUCUAGUAGCUGGUUCCUGCC